AACGAACGCUGGCGGCGCGUCUUAAGCAUGCAAGUCGAACGGCAAGAUUUUGUAGCUUGCUACAGAAUCCUAGAGUGGCGGACUGGUGAGUAACACGUGGGUGACAUACCCUUCAGUUGGGGAUAGCUAUUAGAAAUAGUAGAUAAUACCGAAUACGACCGUAGUUGUUAGAGGACUACGAGGAAAGUAGCUAAGGCUAUGCUGAAGGGUUGGCCCGCGGCCCAUUAGCUAGUUGGUGUGGUAAAGGCAUACCAAGGCGAUGAUGGGUAUCCGGCCUGGGAGGGUGAUCGGACACAUGUGGACUGAGAUACGGCCCAGACUCCUACGGGAGGCAGCAGCUAAGAAUAUUCCGCAAUGGACGAAAGUCUGACGGAGCGACGCCGCGUGAACGACGAAGGUGGAAACAUUGUAAAGUUCUUUUAAUUGAGAGGAAUAAGCUUUGUAGGGAAUGACAGAGUGGUGACUGUAUCAAUUGAAUAAGCAACGGCUAAUUACGUGCCAGCCGCCGCAGUAAAAC
rnacentral:rRNA from 1 species